UUAAAGGUUCCUUUAGUAUUUUCUAUUUAACUUAACAAUACAAAUUACAAACCGAACGGGUUCCUGAGAACCCCUUUCUUGGCUAUAAAUCCGCCCCUGGCUAUGGGGCGCUGUAGGUGUGUUUGGCGCUAUAUGACUCCCGAACUCGAGUACACACGGUCUUACACAUCACAAUAGUCUAAUAUCAAAAUAUUCUGUUAUUCUAUAAAUUUUUUAUUGAUAAAUGAUACAUUAAUAAUCCUAACUUUUACUCGAUGGCUGACAUUAAUCCCAACUUAAAAAAAUCUCUAUGACAGUCGUAACUUUCAAACUAUUUUCCUUCAUAGAGCCUUUUCUAACUAGGGACUAACCCAGUUAGUUUUAGCUCACGUGCCAGCUUAUGUGGCUGAACUAGAUAAUGGGUUGUCAUCGGCGUGUCUCGAUGUGAGGAUAGUGGUAGGCGCAACCGUAGGGGUCACCUCUUCCUCGAUAGGGGCCGGGGCAGGGGCAGAGGUACGAGAUGAAGUCGCCCUAGGACAUUGUGUAAAUAAGAGAAUCGCGAAAAUGGAAAUGAGACUCAAAGUAUGCUUCGCACGAGCCAUUGUCUUUAAUCCUGGCUUUGUUUGUGAUUCUAGCAAAGAUAAUGAAUACGAACUUGAGGAAUUCGUUUCUUACUCCUUUAAGGAUUGG
rnacentral:lncRNA from 1 species